rnacentral:lncRNA from 10 species
CAAGAUUCCAGCCUCGGUCACCACCCUGACCCUGAGAAUGCCACUGGGAUGGGGAGAACUUGUCAGUCUUCAUCCUUCCCCACAAGUAUACUGAAGCCAGGACAGCACCUGCCUUAGAGAGCUCUUAGAGGGAUUAUCCGCAGCCUGAAGAAAGAAGGUUACAACUGAGGAAGAACUUCUGAACAGGGAAGAGUGGAAGAAAAGACUGCAGCUCAGCUCCAGAAGCAGACCCAGAAUGGCAUCCUUCUCUGAGACCCAGACCCCAGCCCCUUUUCAUGGAAGACCAGCACAAAGGAGGAAGUAGGUUAGGGAAUGGUAAGGCUCCAUGUGAUGGGACUAAUGUGGAGAGGCCUGGGGCCUUUCCCUGAGGACUGGAUGGCUGGAGUUUGGGAGCCUGAGUUGACAGAGGAGGCUAAGCCCGGGCAGCUACUUUGUUCCAGAAAUCUAAGGUCCCUGGAGGGAGGCUCUGCUUUGGGAGGGGGAAGGGAGCUAACAUUGCAGAGCACCAACUGUGAACCAGGUACAAUGGCAGAGCCUUUCCAUACCUGUACUCACAACUAGCGGGUGAGGAGUCAAGGCAAAUAGGUGUCUCAUAGCUCCCCAUAUCUCGGCAGUCGACCACCUCCUCCUUUGAUUCUCUGAUGUCACUGCCAGUUCUCCUCCUAUUGCUCUGACCUGUCUUUCUCUGUGUCCUUUGCAAACUCAUUCUCAACUCCUUAGACUCAGUCAAGUCCCCCAGUUACACACUUCCAUGGUACUAUAUAUCAUUCCUUCAGAGCACUUAACACAGUUAUUUCCUAUGUAUUUGUCCAGUCAUUUGAAUAAUGAUCCUAGUUUCAUUGGAUGGAAAGUUCCACAAGGUCAGUGACCAUUUCUAUCUGUGUUCACCAAUGUGUUCCCAGUGCCCAGAAACAAUGCCUAGCAUAAAGCAGCUGUUUUGUAAAUACUUGUUCAAUGAAUGAAUAAAUGACAAAAGAACAUCUC